GGCUGAGAUUUUAAAACGGAACUCGCGGGUAAAAUGGAGGUUGGGUCGGGUAAAAACUAUAGGAUCCGGGUUCUAACAAAACCCUAUCUCACCCGGACUCCUUGCAUUUUUACUGCUUUUGUACGAGACCACCAAGAGAGAGAGAGAGUGAAGAAGAAGAAAACGAACCAGACGCAGAUGACAAACAAGAACAAGAUCGAUCUGGAGAAGAAGAUCGAAGCAAACCCACACCAGAUCGACGAAGAACGAAGAAGAAGAAGAAGAAGAAGAAGCAGAUUGAACCAGAGAAGAAGAACGAAGAACGAAGACGAACCAGGUGUUGAGAUUUCUAUGCUUGAAUCCUCCUCCCUCUAUCCAUAUCCCAUGUCAUUGAAGGAAGUAGUUUGGGUAACAAUAGAAGUGGUGAUCCCGAUUUUUGGAUCUUUUGUUUUUGUGGAAAACCAGCACCAUUGAGAAUCUGGAACACAAAAAAACCCUUCAGAUGUGCAAAGUAUAAGGUGAGCUGCAUGCAUUGCCCCAAUUUAUUCUCUUGUUGUCGUUGGAGCUGAAACCAUACUUUGAUGUUAUUUUGUUCUUUUUUGACGGUUAAAGUUGGAUUGUGGUGUGUUUGAAGCAUUGCCCCAAUUUUGUUCUUUUUUGGCUCUUUCCCAGUUGUGAUGGUUGGUGGUGUGCUUGAAGCUAAUAAGAAGUGGGAUAUAGGUAAAGAAGUUACUGCCUAUAUCCCAAGGCUAGUCCAAUUAGACCAAAGGUUGGCAUUCUUUCCCAAUUUCCCCUUUUCAGUGACUGUCUGCUGUUGGGGCUGCAUUGCUUGCUUUGAACUCUUUGAUGACCCUGGAUUAGUUAGGAGCAUACAAUUGUAAAGUUCGACAUACAACACCUUGUACAUUGAUUUCUUAUGUAUGGGAUGUAUUGUGCUUGUACUCUAGUUUAUUUUUUUGUAUUGUUGAAAGUUAGUGGAAUUUUGUAAAGAAGGUACAAUCUGGAAUUCUAUUAUGUUCAUUGUAAUGGGAUGUUCAUUUUAUUUUUG